rnacentral:snRNA from 1 species
AAUAACCAGAUGAGAAAACCUG